GAUUGAACGCUGGCGGCAGGCCUAACACAUUCAAGUCGAGCGGAUGAAGGGAGCUUGCUCCUGGAUUCAGCGGCGGACGGGUGAGUAAUGCCUAGGAAUCUGCCUGGUAGUGGGGGAUAACGUCCGGAAACGGGCGCUAAUACCGCAUACGUCCUGAGGGAGAAAGUGGGGGAUCUUCGGACCUCACGCUAUCAGAUGAGCCUAGGUCGGAUUAGCUAGUUGGUGGGGUAAAGGCCUACCAAGGCGACGAUCCGUAACUGGUCUGAGAGGAUGAUCAGUCACACUGGAACUGAGACACGGUCCAGACUCCUACGGGAGGCAGCAGUGGGGAAUAUUGGACAAAGGGCGAAAGCCUGAUCCAGCCAUGCCGCGUGUGUGAAGAAGGUCUUCGGAUUGUAAAGCACUUUAAGUUGGGAGGAAGGGCAGUAAGUUAAUACCUUGCUGUUUUGACGUUACCAACAGAAUAAGCACCGGCUAACUUCGUG
rnacentral:rRNA from 1 species